GUCUACCGUCAUACCACCCUGAACACAGCAGAUCUUGUCUGAUCUUGGAAGCUAAGCAGGAUUGGACUGGGUUAGUACUUGCAUAGGAGAAAAGAAUCAAACGACAGUAAAAA
ensembl:rRNA 5S_rRNA 5S ribosomal RNA